GCUGCCAAGACGGCACAUGAACAUGCCUGCGGACA
rnacentral:tRNA from 1 species